UGGAGUAAACUCUCAAGUCGUUUCUGGAGUUGGAGUAAACCCUCAAGUCGUUUCUGGAGUUAAGGUAAACCCUCAAAUUACUCCUGGAGUUGGAGCGAAUCCUCCUACAGUCGCACCUGGAACUGGAGUAAACCCUCAAGUAGUUUCUGGAAUCGGAGUGAACCCUCAAAUUACUACUGGAAUUGGAGUGAACCCUCAAAUUACUCCUGGAGUUGGAAUUAACCCUCAAAUUUGGAGUGAACCCUCAAAUUACUACUGGAAUUGGAGUGAACCCUCAAAUUACUCCUGGAGUUGGAAUUAACCCUCAAAUUACUACUGGAAUCGGAGUGAACCCUCAAAUUACUCCUGGAGCUGGAAUUAGCCCUCAAGUUGUUUCGGGAGUUGGAGUAAACCCUCAAGCCGUUUCUGGAGUUGGACUGAAUCCUCCUACAGUCGCACCUGGAAUUGGAGUAAACCCUUCUACAGUCGCUUCUGAAACUGGAAUCAAUCUUCUUCCCAAACCCACUCCUGGAGUCAAAGCGAGCCCCCAAACUACAGUCAUUCCCAGAACUGGAGCGAAUCCUCCCAUUGUCACUUCAAGCGUUGGAAUAAACCCUCCCACAUCUAUUCCUGGAGUCAGAGUGAGUCACCACCCUACGGCCACUCCCGGCACUGGAAUCAAUCCCCAGUCCUUUGCCUUAGGUGUCAGAGUCACUCCACCAACAGCCUCAGGUGUCAGAGCCACUCCGCCCACAGCCCCUGGAAUUGGAGUUCAUCCUCCUACUAUACCUACUUCUGAACUCGGAACAAAUCCUCAAAACUAUGCAUCAGGUGUUAGAGUUAGUCCUUCCACAAUCCCCAAAAUUGGAGUCAACCCUCAUCCUACAACCACUUCCGGUACUGGGACCAAUCCCCAGUCUUUUGCUUCUGGUAUCAGAAUUAGUCCUUCCAAAACUCCCAGAACUGGAGUUAAUCCUCCUCCAAUUGUUUCAGGAAUCAGAAUCAAUCCUCAUCCUACUACACCCACUCCUGAUAUGAUGAGUAUGAACCCUACUCCCAUUAUUUCAGGAGUCAGAGUUAAUCCUCAUCAUACAACUUCUGGAAUCGGAAUCAAUCCUACUCCUACUAAUCCUAAUACUGGAAUUAGAGAUCCCUUUCUACCACAAACAUUUAAAAAAUAAAUCAGAAUUUACAUUAACAUUUUUCUCUCUCUCUCUAAGAGAAGAAAAGUCAAAAGAUCAAAUCUAAUUAAAAUAUAUAAUUAGAAAACUAAUAGUAAG
rnacentral:lncRNA from 1 species